GUUUGUCUCCUCUUCACACCUGAGAAUUGAGAAAUGUUUAUCUAUUUAAUUAUAUUACUAUCAUCGGCUGCAGGUUCGAGAGCAGCAGAGGUCAUAACCCCACACAGUGCUUAUCAGUUUGCGGUGGAUGGUGACGGUGUGACGCUCUCUUGUAGCUACACUGGUUCUGCUCGAAGUCUUCACUGGUAUCGUCAGGACUCAGGUUCACCACCAAAGUUCCUCAUACUGGAAUCUUAUGGAGUAGUUACUGAAGCUGAUCCUCCAGUUGCUGGAGUCUCAAUCAUUCACAGAAAAGACAACAGUAGUGUGGAUCUGAUCAUCUCCUCUGCUGCUGUCACUGACUCUGCUCUCUACUACUGUGCUUUGGAGCCCACAGUGAAAGGAAAUCCAUGGCAUGCUGUACAAAAAGCUCUUUAAAUAACACUGAAAGUGAGAGAUGAUAAUUAGGACUUUACUAAAAUGCAGGUCUAAAAAUUAGGUGCCAAGUUACCUUCAGGAACAGAGAUUCCAGACACUGUACAAAAACCUGACUGGUAUCAACCACCCAGUGGC